rnacentral:lncRNA from 1 species
CUUAAUCUCAACAUUCAUACUAAUUAUGGAUAGAUCGCCUCUUUCUAUCUUUAUCAAAUACGUACAGAUACUUUGAGUCCAGCAUAAAACUCCAACAACACUGCGAUUUCAAAAAUUUUAAAACAAAUCCUAGCUUUGAACCCACAAACACACAAUAAUAAAGUUUCAGCAAAAAAAAAAAGUUCAUCAAAUAGUCCUCCAAAUCGCAUCAUAAACAAAUAGGGUUCUAUUCAUAUCACGUGAAUAUGUAUUUAACUAGCAUGCCAUGAGUCUCAAAGAAAGACCAAAAAUUCAUCAUUCAAGAAAGACCAAUCAUUAUUACAGAGUGGUAUUAACAUACCUAGUUAGCAGGAAGUGAACAGUAUUGUGAUUGCCAAAUAAAGGCUAAAACGAAGGAAGAUGGAGUUCAACUAUGAUUAGCAAACAUCAACAAACUUUAAUAUUUGGUCGAAAAACAAAUUGAAACCCAGAAAAUAAUGAUGAAAAGCUCCUUGAAUCCAAGCAUCAAAUGCCCUCUUUGUAUGUUUGUUUUUGUUUUUUUUUGUUUUGGUCUGUUCCCUCUUGUAAAACCCAGAUUCACUUUUUGCCUUCCCCUAAAACUUUUAUGUCAUCCUCCUCUCUGUGUUUAUAUCCCCCACGUCAAAUUUUUUAUGUGUGAAGAUAAGAUAAUCAGAAUGUAAAAUGAGAAAAAUGAAUGAGGAUGCCAAGAGCUUUGGGAUUUUGCCAAAGAUAGAAGAAGAGAGAGAGGGGCGCCGAUUCUCUGUCUCUAGAGGGAAGGGGAUCCA